rnacentral:rRNA from 1 species
AUUGAACGCUGGCUGCAGGCCUAACACAUGCAAGUCGAGCGAGCGGCGGACGGGUGAGUAAUUAAUAGGAAACUGCCUUACGGAGGGGGAUAACUACUGGAAACGGUAGCUAAUACCGCAUACCAUCAGAUGUGCCCAGAUGGGAUUAGCUAGUAGGGGUGGUAACGGCUCACCUAGGCUAGGAUCCCUAGCUGGUCUGGGAGGAGGAGCAGCCCCACUGGACCUGAGCCACGGUACAGUCUCCGACGGUAGGCAGCAGUGGGGAAUGUUGCACAAUGGGCGGAAGCCUGAUGCAGCCAUGCCGCGUGUGUGAAGAAGGCCGUCGUGUUGUAAAGCACUUUCAGCGGGGAAGCGUUACCCGCAGAAGAAGCACCGGCUAACUCCGUGCCAGCAGCCGCGGUAAUAC